rnacentral:rRNA from 1 species
AGAGUUUGAUCAUGGCUCAGGACGAACGCUGGCGGCGUGCUUAACACAUGCAAGUCGAACGGAAAGGCCCUUCGGGGUACUCGAGUGGCGAACGGGUGAGUAACACGUGGGUGAUCUGCCCUGCACUUUGGGAUAAGCCUGGGAAACUGGGUCUAAUACCGAAUAGGACCACGCGCUUCAUGGUGUGUGGUGGAAAGCUUUUGCGGUGUGGGAUGGGCCCGAGGCCUAUCAGCUUGUUGGUGGGGUAAUGGCCUACCAAGGCGACGACGGGUAGCCGGCCUGAGAGGGUGACCGGCCACACUGGGACUGAGAUACGGCCCAGACUCCUACGGGAGGCAGCAGUGGGGAAUAUUGCACAAUGGGCGCAAGCCUGAUGCAGCGACGCCGCGUGAGGGAUGACGGCCUUCGGGUUGUAAACCUCUUUCAAUAGGGACGAAGCGCAAGUGACGGUACCUAUAGAAGAAGCACCGGCCAACUACGUGCCAGCAGCCGCGGUAAUACGUAGGGUGCGAGCGUUGUCCGGAAUUACUGGGCGUAAAGAGCUCGUAGGUGGUUUGUCGCGUUGUUCGUGAAAACUCACAGCUUAACUGUGGGCGUGCGGGCGAUACGGGCAGACUAGAGUACUGCAGGGGAGACUGGAAUUCCUGGUGUAGCGGUGGAAUGCGCAGAUAUCAGGAGGAACACCGGUGGCGAAGGCGGGUCUCUGGGCAGUAACUGACGCUGAGGAGCGAAAGCGUGGGGAGCGAACAGGAUUAGAUACCCCGGUAGUCCAA